rnacentral:rRNA from 1 species
CACAUGCAAGUCGAACGAACCUUCGGGUUAGUGGCGGACGGGUGAGUAACGCGUGAGAAUCUGCCCUCAGGAGGGGGAUAACGGCUGGAAACGGCCGCUAAUACCCCAUAUGCCGAGAGGUGAAAUGAAUUUCGCCUGAGGAUGAGCUCGCGUCUGAUUAGCUAGUUGGUGGGGUAAGAGCCUACCAAGGCAUCGAUCAGUAACUGGUCUGAGAGGAUGAUCAGCCACACUGGGACUGAGACACGGCCCAGACUCCUACGGGAGGCAGCAGUGGGGAAUUUUCCGCAAUGGGCGAAAGCCUGACGGAGCAACGCCGCGUGAGGGAUGAAGGCCUCUGGGCUGUAAACCUCUUUUAUCAAGGAAGAANAUCUGACGGUACUUGAUGAAUAAGCCACGGCUAAUUCCGUGCCAGCAGCCGCGG